rnacentral:rRNA from 1 species
GGGGAAUUUUGCACAAUGGGCGGAAGCCUGAUGCAGCGACGCCGCGUGAGGGAUGGAGGCCUUCGGGUUGUGAACCUCUUUCGCUCGUGACCAAGCCAUGCGUGUGCGUGUGGUGAGGGUAGUGGGUAAAGAAGCUCCGGCUAACUACGUGCCAGCAGCCGCGGUAAUACGUAGGGAGCGAGCGUUGUCCGGAUUUAUUGGGCGUAAAGGGCUUGUAGGCGGUUUAUCAAGUCAGGGGUGAAAGGCUACGGCUCAACCGUAGUGAGCCUCUGAAACUGGUGAACUUGAGCGUAGGAGAGGAAAGUGGAAUUCCCAGUGUAGCGGUGAAAUGCGUAGAUAUUGGGAGGAACACCAGUGGCGAAGGCGACUUUCUGGACUACAACUGACGCUGAGGCACGAAAGCGUGGGGAGCAAACA